UUCCUGACCCACACUGCCUCUGCGGCGUCCCCAAAGCUUGCUCCAUUCGAGGCACCUGACUUUGGACCGGUCCCCUCCCCAUGCACAGAGACCCGGGGACGGCUGAUGGGACUCCAGGCCAGGGCGAGGCAGGACAAGAGCAGACUCGCCUUUCUUCUUCCUCGCGGGAGGCUCAGGAGGAAACACGCCAACUCUGGUAGGAGGCAUCGCACCCAGGCUCAGAGGGAAAGGAAGACGGGCCAGCAACACCCCGGUCUCACGUCUGGGUGGAAACAGACCCUCUGGCUCCAACGCCUCCUCCCGGCCACUUCUGCCUUGUCCCCCCGGCCAGGGUUCUGCCUGUCAGUUAGUGAUUAGGUUUUCAAAAGCUUAUAAAGGCUUUCCUCUUACCUCGACUGACAAAGCAUGAAUCGCUGCAAACCUAGCAUCUCCCCCAUUUUUCCUGGCCCUCCUCCUUUUUCAGCUUCACAACCCGGGGGGGGGAGGCUGGUGUCCCUCCCCAGAGCCGAGUGCCACACGGCAGAUUUACAUGUGCAAGCGCCGCCUCGGUCAUUUGCAUCUUAAUGUUCCAAACCCACAAUCAUGAAGCCUUGUGUGAAGAAAUAAAGAAGGAUUUAGAGAAA